AAAGGAUUGCUCUGGUCCUUCGGCAUGAGUUCUGCUUGGCUGGGCUGAUAGAGUUGCAUCUCUGCGCCUCUGAACUUCCGCUCCUCAGUGCAGAGCAAGCUCUUCCUUCCUACAAGCCAAUGGCUUCUACUUUCUACCAGGAAACAGGGCCUGGAGUCUAAAGAGAGCAUAGAGCUUUCAGCCGGCUGCUAAAUCAUCAAGGAUCCAGACUGAGUCCUCGGUGCGAUAAACAGGGAUUGCGAGCAAGGCUGUAUGUUUUGUAGAGGACCAUCAAGCGAGGACAGGUGUGUCUUUCCUCAACAUUGCCUUCGGGGCCCAAAUCAGAUGUUCCUCUUACACAAAGCAUCUGCUUAUUGGCCAGAACCAACCUCUUCCCAUGCAAUCUGCAGCUCCACUUGAUGACUUAUUCCGUCCCAUCUUUGAGAACACUUAUUUACUAGUAGACAUAUCACUCCACCUAAACUUUAGGUGUACUGUAUGGUAGCCAGUC